rnacentral:rRNA from 1 species
AUUGAACGCUGGCGGCAUGCUUUACACAUGCAAGUCGGACGGCAGCACAGAGAAGCUUGCUUCUUGGGUGGCGAGUGGCGAACGGGUGAGUAACAUAUCGGAACGUACCGAGCAGUGGGGGAUAACUAAUCGAAAGAUUAGCUAAUACCGCAUAUAUUCUGAGGAAGAAAGCAGGGGACCAUUUGGCCUUGCGCUGUUUGAGCGGCCGAUAUCUGAUUAGCUAGUUGGUGGGGUAAAGGCCUACCAAGGCGACGAUCAGUAGCGGGUCUGAGAGGAUGAUCCGCCACACUGGGACUGAGACACGGCCCAGACUUCCUACGGGAGGCAGCAGUGGGGAAUUUUGGACAAUGGGCGCAAGCCUGAUCCAGCCAUGCCGCGUGUCUGAAGAAAGGGCUUCGGGUUGUAAAGGACUUUUGCCAGGGAAGAAAAGGAUAGGGUUAAUACCCCUGUCUGAUGACGUACCUGAAGAAUAACACCG